rnacentral:rRNA from 1 species
UACGUAGGUGGCGAGCGUUGUCCAGAAUUACUGGGCGUAAAGGAUGCGUAGGUGGAUAAUUAAGUGGGAAUGUGAAAUACCCGGGCUCAACUUGGGUGCUGCAUUUCAAACUGGAAGUCUAGAGUGCAGGAGAGGAGAAUGGAAUUCCUAGUGUAGCGGUGAAAUGCGUAGAGAUUAGGAAGAACACCAGUGGCGAAGGCGAUUCUCUGGACUGUAACUGACGCUGAGGCUCGAAAGCGUGGGGAGCAAACAGGAUUAGAUA